GGGGUUGUAGCCUAGUGGUUAGAGCGUCGGCCUCACGACUGGAAGGUCGGGGGUUCGAUUUCCCGAUCCCA
rfam:Macrostomum lignano uti_cns_0046928, whole genome shotgun sequence.